rnacentral:rRNA from 1 species
GUAGGUGGCAAGCGUUGUCCGGAAUUAUUGGGCGUAAAGCGCGCGCAGGCGGUCCUUUAAGUCUGAUGUGAAAGCCCACGGGCUCAACCGUGGAGGGUCAUUGGAAACUGGGGGACUUGAGUACAGAAGAGGAAAGCGGAAUUCCAAGUGUAGCGGUGAAAUGCGUAGAGAUUUGGAGGAACACCAGUGGCGAAGGCGGCUUUCUGGUCUGUAACUGACGCUGAGGCGCGAAAGCGUGGGGAGCAAACAGGAUUAGAUACCCUGGUAGUCCACGCCGUAAACGAAGAGUGCUAAGUGUUAGGGGGUUUCCGCUCCUUAGUGCUGCAGCUAACGCAUUAAGCACUCCGCCUGGGGAGUACGGCCGCAAAGGCUGA